GUGAUGGGUCGCUCCACCGCGGCGCUUUCGUGCGACGAGGAAAGUCCGGGCAACACAGAGCACCCUGCUUCCUAACGGGAAGGAUGGGCCGCAAGGCUCAGACAGCCAGUGCCACAGAAAACUACCGCCUACGUCGCCUUCGGGCGGCCGGUAAGGGUGAAAAGGUGCGGUAAGAGCGCACCAGCGGCUAGGCGACUAGUCCGGCUGGGUAAACCUCAGGGGUUGAAAGACCAAAUAAGCGGGCACGCUGGCAACAGCUGGCACCGGGCGGCUCGUCCGGCGUCCGCGGGUAGGUUGAUGGAGCUUUUCCGCGAGGACUGGCCUAGAUAAAUGGUGGAGGCGCGGCAACGCGUACAAAACCCGGCUUACAGACUCAUCACCGGC
rnacentral:RNase_P_RNA from 1 species